UUCAUAUUGGCUACACCAUUUAUUCUUUCUUAUGGCAACUUCAGAGGCAGCAAAAUAGAACAUCCAGAUUAAUCAUUUGAUGCAAGAUUUUCUAGACCCAAACCUAGCCCGUUCUUCCAGAGAGGAAACCUCACAGACCACGACUCAAAUGUCUUGUCCUGUCAUGCGAGUUAUCUUUUAAUUUUCCAGUGUUAGUGUGGAAUAAUAACUUUAUUGCUGUGCUUGCAUAGUGCUGUUUAAAUGUGCUGUGACCUAAAUGCAAAACGGUGAAGCACAGUGGUUGAGCUAGAGGAUCUCUUCCUACGGUUUCAACAGUCUUCAGAGACGUUUCUGAUCUGUAACACAGCAGCAAUUCCUAUCCCUGUUAGUUAGCAUAGGAGGGAAUAGCAUAGUAUUCUACUCCUGAUUGUUGAAAUUAAGGAAACCCUGGGGAGAUUUUCCUGCAGCCCCUCUAGUGAGUUCACACUUCAACAGAAUGUCUGUUUAUUUCUCAUUAUCACAUUUUAGUGGCUAUAGUUUGCUCCUUUUGCAGAAGGUUUGCUGAGUUUUCAUGAUAAGGCUGUAUUAGGUGUUUAAGGAUACUAGCCAAAUUUCACGUAUCACUAGUAAAUGGUAUACACAUAAAAAACCUGCUACAUUAAACAAAGUCGUAUUUCAUUUUUUGAUUCACUUUGUGAUUCAAACAGUCAGGAAAACAUGAAUAAACUGCCAGAGAACAAAUUGGACCUUCCCUCAGGCAGCCUUAAAUUAUUCAUCAGUCUUUUUGGAAAAAUUUGUUAGACAUUAGGAGCUAUUUUAUAUAUUUUUAGUUAUUCAAGUAGUGAAUAUUAGAUAGAGUUUAUGCUGGUGUCAGCAGUGCCAUUUAGAAUUUAUGUUGCAUCUCCAGAAAAAGAAAGGACUCUUUGGACCUUCCUCAAGGCAAGUAUUAGGAAAACAUAUUUCUUAAUUUUUAAAGCACAGAUACCUUUUCAACUCUAAAUUAUAAUCUGGGACCAAUUAAUGCAAGAGAAAAAAUGGGGUGGAGGGGAGAACAAGUGAAUAUACACAAUGGAAAAACAAGGAGGGACACUGGAAAAAAAAAAUAACAUCUUUCAAUAGGCCACAGAGUGGAACAUCAAGCAGAGAGAAGAAAGACUCUUAGGAAGAAAUGCUCCACAGAAAGAUGUUACGCGAUGAAAAGUGACCACACAAUGCAGUAACAAUGAGAUAAACUGAGCUACUGUAUAUCAGAUACAGCAUAUACAUAUAUACUGUUGAAAUAAGCUAAGAGAAAUUACCCUCCAUUCCUGAACACGGAAAAUGGAAUACUGGAUUUAACUGUUAGAAAACCUGAGGAGAUCAUAAUAGCAAUGUAUACAGAGCAGGGACUGGGCAAGAAACAAGCUGGCAGUGGUACCUGAACAUCACUGGACACUGUUACUAGCUAUGAAGACAGGCAAGAGUUCAGGGUCUCUAAAAUAAUGGAUGGGUUGCCAUUGAUCAGCAUGGUGUCCUCAGAGCAUAAAACAGAAGGUACUACGUCUUAGAAUUGCAAGCAGUUGUCUGAUCGUUCCUGUAUCAAGAAUACAUUGUGAUGGAUCACUGCAAGGACAUUAGGAGCCUACACCUCUCUCAAGCUUGAAUGCAUGAAAGAAGGUUGGAUGUGACUGCAGGGAAAUAUACCCAAGCAUAACCUGGACACAGAUCCUAGAA